GUGUCAGCCGCCGCGGUAAUACGGAGGGUGCAAGCGUUGUCCGGAUUUAUUGGGUUUAAAGGGUGCGUAGGCGGCCGAUUAAGUCAGCGGUGAAAGUUUUGGGCUCAACCCAGAAAUUGCCAUUGAUACUGGUCGGCUUGAGUAUUGCAGGGGUACAUGGAAUUGAUGGUGUAGCGGUGAAAUGCAUAGAUACCAUCAGGAACACCGAUAGCGAAGGCAUUGUACUGGGCAACCACUGACGCUGAUGCACGAAAGCAUGGGGAGCGAACAGGAUUAGAAACCCCAGUAGUCC
rnacentral:rRNA from 1 species